rnacentral:rRNA from 1 species
CGGUGUUUAACUGGCGUGAUGUGGGACGUCCUACCGGUGGGCUUAGCCUCGCGAGGGGCGGCCCAACUAAUAUCCCGUCGCGGUGCUCUUUACUGAGUGUCGAGUCGGGCCGGUACGUUUACUUUGAACAAAUUAGAGUGCUUAAAGCAGGCUAUCCUCGCCUGAAUACUGCGUGCAUGGAAUAAUGGAAUAGGACCUCGGUUCUAUUUUGUUGGUUUUCGGAACCCCGAGGUAAUGAUUAAUAGGGACAGAUGGGGGCAUUCGUAUUGCGACGUUAGAGGUGAAAUUCUUGGAUCGUCGCAAGACGGACAGAAGCGAAAGCAUUUGCCAAAAAUGUUUUCAUUAAUCAAGAACGAAAGUUAGAGGUUCGAAGGCGAUCAGAUACCGCCCUAGUUCUAACCAUAAACGAUGCCAGCUAGCGAUCCGCCGAAGUUCCUCCGAUGACUCGGCGGGCAGCUUCCGGGAAACCAAAGCUUUUGGGUUCCGGGGGAAGUAUGGUUGCAAAGCUGAAACUUAAAGGAAUUGACGGAAGGGCACCACCAGGAGUGGAGCCUGCGGCUUAAUUUGACUCAACACGGGAAACCUCACCAGGCCCAGACACCGGAAGGAUUGACAGAUUGAUAGCUCUUUCUUGAUUCGGUGGGUGGUGGGUGCAUGGCCCGUUCUUAGUUGGUGGAGCGAUUUGUCUGGUUAAUUCCGAUAACGAACGAGACUCUAGCCUGCUAAAUAGGCGUACCUUAUGGUAUCGCGAAGGCCCCCGGCUUCGGCCGGUGGGUUUUUACUACCAACGUACAAACAAAUCUUCUUAGAGGGCACAGGCGG